GGGAGCUUGUGAAUGCUAGAAGAGCAAACAAAGGUGGAGGUGUCAUGAUGAAACCGUUAAAUGGAAAAAACAAGUUGUGUUGCGCUGAAGAUGACAGGCACCGUCAACCACAAAUCAGAAAAGAGGAUGUCAUCACACAGCCAAUCAGAAGGAGCUCAGCGCCUCCAAAGCCACUUCAUAGCAGAACUUGUACUGUUCCUUUGGAGGGAGGAGACGGAAAAGCAGAGGCGCACAGAAGGUGAAACCAAUCUUGGAUGGGGAGAAUAUAAGGGAGCUAACAACACAGCGCAGCAUGUUGGGUUCUGCUAAAUUGUUUUUUUUAGUUUGGGUUGGAGGUUUUGGGUAGUUUAGUUCUUGUCUGGUGUUUUUGUUGGUAAAGUUAAAGUUAGGAGUUGUAAAG